rnacentral:rRNA from 1 species
UACAGAGGAGCCAAGCGUUGUCCGGAUUGACUGGGCGUAGAGCGCACGCAGGCGGACGCGCGCGUGGGGUGUGAAAUCUGGCCGCUUAACGGCCAGGCGCCAUCCCAUACGGCGCGUCUGGAGUGAUGCAGAGGUCGAUGGAAUUGCCGGUGUAGUGGUGAAAUGCGUAGAGAUCGGCAGGAACACCCAGGGGGAAACCAGUCGACUGGGCAUCUACUGACGCUGAGGUGCGAGAGCGUGGGGAGCGAACCGG